rnacentral:rRNA from 1 species
UACGUAGGGUGCAAGCGUUGUCCGGAAUUAUUGGGCGUAAAGAGCUCGUAGGCGGUUUGUCGCGUCUGCUAUGAAAACUCGGGGCUUAACCCCGGGCCUGCAGUGGGUACGGGCAGACUAGAGUGCGGUAGGGGAGACUGGAAUUCCUGGUGUAGCGGUGAAAUGCGCAGAUAUCAGGAGGAACACCGGUGGUGUAGACGGCUUUCUGGACCGUAACUGACGCUGAGACACGAAAGCGUGGGUAGCAAACAGG